GGCCGAUUGGCGUAAUUGGUAGCCGCGGCAGACUCAAAAUCUGUUGCCCGUGAGGGCGUCUCGGUUCGAGUCCGAGAUCGGCCACCA
rnacentral:tRNA from 1 species